rnacentral:lncRNA from 10 species
UAGAUAAAUGCCUGCUGCUAGCUCUCCUCUUCCAGAAACUUUGUUGAAAUAUUUUCUUGCUGAUGGCCCCCUACAUGUCUUCUCAUUGUUGAGCUUUAUAAAAUUAUUAACACUCUCUCAGGAGGAAGAGAAGAUGUACAUGCCACAAUUUGGAAUGGGAAGCUCGCAGUUCUUCUUCUUCUUCUUCUUCUUCUUUUUUUGAGACAAAGUCUUACUCUGUCGCCCAGGCUGGAGUGCAGUGGUGUGAUCUCGGCUGACUGCAACCUCCACCUCCCAGGUUCAAGCGAUUCUUCUGCCUCAGCCUCCCAAGUAGCUGGGACUACAAGUGCGUGCCACCACGCCUGGCUAAUUUUUUGUAUUUUUAGUAGAGAUGGGGUUUAACCGUGUUAGCCAGGAU